GGUAGUGGGAGCAAGAUGGAGUCACUGACCCAGGUCCUCAUGUCCCUGCUCCUUUGGGUUUCUGGUAACUGUGCAGAUAUUGUGAUGACCCAGUCUCCAUCCUCCUUGGCUGUGUCAGCAGGAGAGAAAGUCACCAUGAGCUGCAAGUCCAGUCAGAGUCUUCUAAACAGCGGUAACCAGAAGAAUUACUUGGCCUGGUACCAGCAGAAACCAGGCCAGUCUCCCAAACAUCUGAUUUACUAUGCAUCCACUCGUGAUACAGGGGUCCCUGGUCGCUUCAUAGGCAGUGGAUCUAGGACAGAUUUCACUCUCACCAUCAGCAGCGUCCAGUCUGAAGACCUGGCAGAUUACUACUGUCUUCAGGCUGCCAGUUAUCCUCUCACAGUGUUUUAG